AUGCAAGUAGAACGCACAGGAUGCACCGUAGUUUACUACACCGUAUUCUGUGGAGUUGCGAACGGGUGAGUAACGCGUAGGUAACCUGCCUGGUAGCGGGGGAUAACUAUUGGAAACGAUAGCUAAUACCGCAUAAGAACAUUUACUGCAUGGUAGAUGUUUAAAAGGUGCAAGAGCAUCACUACCAGAUGGACCUGCGUUGUAUUAGCUAGUUGGUGAGGUAACGGCUCACCAAGGCAACGAUACAUAGCCGACCUGAGAGGGUGAUCGGCCACACUGGGACUGAGACACGGCCCAGACUCCUACGGGAGGCAGCAGUAGGGAAUCUUCGGCAAUGGGGGGAACCCUGACCGAGCAACGCCGCGUGAGUGAAGAAGGUUUUCGGAUCGUAAAGCUCUGUUGUUAAGGAAGAACGUGUGUGAGAGUGGAAAGUUCACACAGUGACGGUACUUAACCAGAAAGGGACGGCUAACUACGUGCCAGCAGCCGCGGUAAUACGUAGGUCCCGAGCGUUGUC
rnacentral:rRNA from 1 species